rnacentral:rRNA from 1 species
CCUACGGGAGGCAGCAGUGAGGAAUAUUGGUCAAUGGGCGGAAGCCUGAACCAGCCAAGUAGCGUGCAGGAUGACGGCCCUACGGGUUGUAAACUGCUUUUAUACGGGAAUAACGCGCCUUACGUGUAGGGCUUUGCAUGUACCGUAUGAAUAAGGACCGGCUAAUUCCGUGCCAGCAGCCGCGGUAAUACGGAAGGUCCGGGCGUUAUCCGGAUUUAUUGGGUUUAAAGGGAGCGUAGGCCGCAUGUCAAGUGUGCUGUGAAAUGGCCGGGCUCAACCCGGGCCUUGCAGUGCAAACGGGCAGUCGUGAGUUAGAGGAAAGCAGGCGGAAUUCGUCGUGUAGCGGUGAAAUGCAUAGAUAUGGCGAAGAAACCCGAGUGCGAAGGCAGCUUGCUGGAGCGGAACUGACGCUGAUGCUCGAAAGCGCGGGUAUCGAACAGGAUUAGAUACCCCAGUAGUC